rnacentral:rRNA from 1 species
UACGUAGGGUGCAAGCGUUGUCCGGAACUAUUGGGCGUAAAGAGCUCGUAGGUGGCCUGUCGCGUCGGCUGUGAAAACUCGGGGCUCAACUCCGAGCUUGCAGUCGAUACGGGCAGGCUAGAGUUCGGCAGGGGAGACUGGAAUUCCUGGUGUAGCGGUGAAAUGCGCAGAUAUCAGGAGGAACACCGGUGGCGAAGGCGGGUCUCUGGGCCGAUACUGACACUGAGGAGCGAAAGCGUGGGGAGCGAACAGG